ensembl:snRNA U6 U6 spliceosomal RNA
UCACUCAGUUCAGUAGUGCCUUCACUAAAACUGAGGGACCAGAGAGGACUAGCAUGGCCCCUGCACAAGGAUCACACACAAAAUUUUUUCACACAAAAAUAAUGU